ACGCUCGACACCUACGGGAGCAGCAGUGGGGAAUAUUGCACAAUGGGGGAAACCCUGAUGCAGCGACGCCGCGUGGAGGAAGAAGGUCUUCGGAUUGUAAACUCCUGUUGUUGGGGAAAAAGAGGAUGGUACCCAACAAGGAAGUGACGGCUAACUACGUGUCAGCAGCCGCGGUAAUCUGAGCGGGCUGGCAAGGC
rnacentral:rRNA from 1 species